rnacentral:rRNA from 1 species
CGCGUAGGCGGGGAUACAAGUCAGAUGUGAAAUCUAUGGGCUUAACCCAUAAACUGCAUUUGAAACUGUAUCUCUUGAGUGUCGGAGAGGUAGACGGAAUUCCUAGUGUAGCGGUGAAAUGCGUAGAUAUUAGGAGGAACACCAGUGGCGAAGGCGGUCUACUGGACGAUAACUGACGCUGGGGCGCGAAGCGUGGGGAGCAAACA